CGGGGACCCGCACAAGCGGUGGAACAUGUGGUUUAAUUCGUAGCUAAGCGAAAGACCUCACCGAGGCUUGACAUCCUGGGAAUCUGCUAGAAACAGCGGAGUGCCUUCGGGAACCCAGUGACAGGUGUUGCAUGGCUGUCGUCAGCUCGUGUCGUGAGAUGUUGGGUUAAGUCCUUCAACGAGCGCAACCCUCAUUGUAUGUUAUAUGUGUCAUACGAGACUGCCGGUAAAAAGCCGGAGGAAGGUGAGGAUGAUGUCAAGUCAGCAUGACCUUUAUAUCCAGGGCUACACACACGCUACAAUGGUCUGUACAAUGGGUAGCCAAGCCGCGAGGCGGAGCCAAUCCUGAAAGCAGGCCUCAGUUCAGAUUGCAGUCUGCAACUCGACUGCAUGAAGCCGGAGUUGCUAGUAACCGCAGGUCAGCAAUACUGCGGUGAAUACGUUCCCGGGUCUU
rnacentral:rRNA from 1 species